UGCACUGCACUGCACUGGAACUUUUAAAACUACGAGUCUUGCCCCAGCACCUGUACCUCCUGCCGUUUCCUCUUCCUACCUGGACAGCCUGAAGGACAUCCUCCUGCACCACCCUCUACGUCAGCCCUCUGCUGUGCACUCCCUCCAUCUCCUCGUUGGCCCCCUCUGAUCUUCGUUCAUGACCUUUCACCACCAAUGCCUGAGCGCCCCCCGCUGACUGAAGGCUGUCUCUCCCGAGUUCCUGGUCCUGCCUGAGCCAAAUAAACACUUUAAAUACUUAC